CCCUUAGAUGUUCUGGGCAGCACGCGCGCUACAAUGGUCUUCGCAAACGGAUGCAUUCUCGAAGGAGAAUGCCAAUCUUGGAAUCUAUGCCUUGGUCGGGACAGUUGCUUGCAAUUUUUCGACUCGAACCAGGAAUUCCUUGUAAUCGUGAUUCAUCACAUCACGAUGAAUACGUCCCUGCCCUUUGUACACACCGCCCGUCGCUCCUACCGAUUGAAUGGUCCGGUGAAAUCUUCGGAUUGCUGACCAAGAUCCAGCAAUGGAGCUUAGUUGCGAGAAGUUGAUUAAACCUUAUUAUUUAGAGGAAGGAGAAGUCGUAACA
rnacentral:rRNA from 1 species